UCUCGUUUCACUUGGGAACGCAGGCUUUGCCCAUCACUGAGGGGUCACUGAGGGGCCAGAGCCUCCCGGGUCCGCUCACUUCCCGCCCUUUCCCGAAGCUGAGUGUGGGGCGCUCCUCCCCGAACCCCCGGUGUUCCCCCUCAAGGCCCUAGAAGUCCGGCCCUUCACCACGUCAGAGGGAGUGUGUUCCUUAAGGCGCUAAAAUAGAUUUCUGUGAUCAAAGAAGGUAAUUAAGGUAGACGCGGCAGAAAAUGAAGGGGCCGAGUGUGUUCUCCAAGGCCUCAGAAUCGCAGAGGCAGGUUCAGAUUGUGAAGCAGAAAGAAGUCACAAAAAUGCAACGCCAGCGUCCACGGUGGCCGCUUUUGUUCCGUGAACCUCUGAGCCAGGCUUUCCUUCUGCCUGAGCCCUCACCUGCCAUCUUCUUCUGGAAAAACAAACGGAGGGCGGGCACAUCCCAAACUUCCCGUGCUCAUCGGAACGUUGGUUUUCACGGAUUGGCACCACCAGCCAUGUGUCGUUGCCGGUCUCUGACUCAGCUCUGCCCUGGCUGUUACAUAAGGCUCCCCGGGCUUCCCUGGGAACCGGCCAUUCGUCCAAGGAGCCUCGAACCCUUUUAAUAAAUAGAGUCUGGUGUUUAGAACAAA